rnacentral:rRNA from 1 species
GACGUAGGGCGCGAGCGUUGUCCGGAAUUAUUGGGCGUAAAGAGCUCGUAGGCGGUGUGUCACGUCGGCCGUGAAAACCUGCAGCUUAACUGUGGGCGUGCGGUCGAUACGGGCAUCACUGGAGUUCGGCAGGGGAGACUGGAAUUCCUGGUGUAGUGGUGAAAUGCGUAGAUAUCGGGAGGAACACCAGUGGCGAAGGCGGCUUUCUGGCCUGUUCUUGACGCUGAGGCGCGAAAGCUAGGGUAGCAAACGGG